rnacentral:miRNA from 1 species
CUGGCUGGGGAAAAUGACUGGAUAGAAAACAUUAUUCUAUUCAUUUACUCCCCAGCCUAUACAUGAAAA